rnacentral:tRNA from 1 species
GCGGUUGUAGCUCAGUUGGUCAGAGCACCGGCCUGUCACGCCGGGGGCCGCGGGUUCAAGUCCCGUCAAUCGCGCCA